GAUGAAGAACGCAGCGAAAUGCGAUAAGUAAUGUGAAUUGCAGAAUUCAGUGAACCAUCGAAUCUUUGAACGCACAUUGCGCCCGGCAGUAAUCUGCCGGGCAUGCCUGUCCGAGCGUCAUUUCUGCCCUCGAGCGAGUCCAGCAUCUAGGUGCUGGGCCCGCCCGGCGUUGGGGCACUACGGGGAGCCCUGUGCUGUCCCCCGUAGGCCCCGAAAUGAAGUGGCGGUCCUGCCGCGGCGCCCCCUGCGUAGUAUAACAGCUCGCUUCGGGACCCGGUGGAGGCCUGCCGUCAAACCUUACUCUCUAAGUUUGACCUCGGAUCAGGUAGGGUUACCCGCUGAACUUAAGCAUAUCAAUAAGCGGAGGA
rnacentral:misc_RNA from 1 species